rnacentral:lncRNA from 1 species
AGGUGUAACGGUCGUGUCCCCAACGGUUACUAACGUUCACCUAUGCUGAAGCUGUCACGCUCGUGACAGAAGGUGUUACGGGCGUCACAGGCACUUGGUGUGACGACCGUGAUGGCGUGUGUGACGCUCGUCACACAGUCAGCUUGCAACGGUCACUGCUUGCGUGGGUGCUUCAUAAUUGUUUUUAUUAUUUUAUUUUAUUUUGUUAUUUUGUUUUGCUUAUGUUUAUUUUAUUUUACUAUUGCUAUAUUUUAGAAAUACCAUGUAUUCUACUAC